rnacentral:rRNA from 1 species
AACGAACGCUGGCGGCAGGCCUAACACAUGCAAGUCGAGCGCUCAUCUUCGGAUGGGAGCGGCGCACGGGUGAGUAACACGUGGGAACCUACCUUGAAGUAUGGAAUAACUGAGGGAAACUUCAGCUAAUACCGUAUACGCCCUACGGGGGAAAGAUUUAUCGCUUCAAGACGGGCCCGCGUUGGAUUAGCUGGUUGGUGAGGUAAUGGCUCACCAAGGCGACGAUCCAUAGCUGAUUUGAGAGAAUGAUCAGCCACACUGGGACUGAGACACGGCCCAGACUCCUACGGGAGGCAGCAGUGGGGAAUAUUGGACAAUGGGCGCAAGCCUGAUCCAGCCAUGCCGCGUGAGUGAUGAAGGCCUUCGGGUUGUAAAGCUCUUUCAGAUGGGACGAUGAUGACGGUACCAUCAGAAGAAGCCCCGGCUAACUUCGUGCCAGCAGCCGCGGUAAUACGAAGGGGGCUAGCGUUGUUCGGAAUUACUGGGCGUAAAGCGCGCGUAGGCGGCUUUGUCAGUCAGGGGUGAAAUCCCGGGGCUUAACCUCGGAACUGCCUUUGAUACUGCAAGGCUUGAGUCUGUGAGAGGAUGGUGGAAUACCCAGUGUAGAGGUAAAAUUCGU